rnacentral:rRNA from 1 species
UGGGGAAUUUUGGACAAUGGGGGAAACCCUGAUCCAGCCAUCCCGCGUGUGCGAUGAAGGCCUUCGGGUUGUAAAGCACUUUUGGCAGGAAAGAAACGUCAUGGGUUAAUACCCCGUGAAACUGACGGUACCUGCAGAAUAAGCACCGGCUAACUACGUGCCAGCAGCCGCGGUAAUACGUAGGGUGCAAGCGUUAAACGGAAUUACUGGGCGUAAAGCGUGCGCAGGCGGUUCGGAAAGAAAGAUGUGAAAUCCCAGAGCUCAACUUUGGAACUGCAUUUUUAACUACCGGGCUAGAGUGUGUCAGAGGGAGGUGGAAUUCCGCGUGUAGCAGUGAAAUGCAUAGAUAUGCGGAGGAACACCGAUGGCGAAGGCAGCCUCCUGGGAUAACACUGACGCUCAUGCACGAAAGCGUGGGGAGCAAACAGG